rnacentral:rRNA from 1 species
CUACGGGUGGCUGCAGUGGGGAAUAUUGCACAAUGGGCGCAAGCCUGCUGCAGCCAUGCCGCGUGUGUGAAGAAGGCCUUCGGGUUGUAAAGCACUUUCAGCGGGGAGGAAGGCGUUAAGGUUAAUAACCUUGGCGAUUGACGUUACCCGCAGAAGAAGCACCGGCUAACUCCGUGCCAGCAGCCGCGGUAAUACGGAGGGUGCAAGCGUUAAUCGGAAUUACUGGGCGUAAAGCGCACGCAGGCGGUCUGUCAAGUCGGAUGUGAAAUCCCCAGGCUCAACCUGGGAACUGCAUUCGAAACUGGCAGGCUAGAGUCUUGUAGAGGGGGGUAGAAUUCCAGGUGUAGCGGUGAAAUGCGUAGAGAUCUGGAGGAAUACCGGUGGCGAAGGCGGCCCCCUGGACAAAGACUGACGCUCAGGUGCGAAAGCGUGGGGAGCAAACAGGAUUAGAUACCCUUGUAGUC